AGCAUCAGCCUAUGUAACGAAUGUUAUCCACAACUCUCUGUCUCCGUCUCUCUCUCAGUUGCAGUUCGAGGGAGUUUGCCCAAUCAAAUCAGCCAUCAUAGCUUUCUCCUUCCAGGCAUCCCUCUUCCUCUCCUGUUGCCGUUGAAGUUGUAACGAGAUCUUUUCCUGUCUCCUGCUUGCUUCUACUUCUGUUUGGAAAUAAUACGACCAGGAAAUCCGAGAAAAUGGCCUCUUCUGCUAUUGUGUCACGCGCUAGUACAACUUAUUCUAGUCCUCUGAGUAGUCUUGCUUCACAGAAUAAGCCAAGAAACCUCUCAUCGUUCCCAUCUUCUCUCAGUUUGUCCUCAAACCAUAACAUCUCUAAUUUCCCUCUCCAAUUUCAUGCCAAGGGACAACCCUUUACCAAGCGAUCUUCUUCAACUGCUACUAGGCCUCUCAGAGUAAUUUCCAUGGCUCCGCCUAAGCCAGGCGGUAAACCCAAGAAAGUGACUGGGGUUAUUAAGCUGGCUCUGGAGGCAGGGAAGGCCACCCCAUCUCCUCCAGUGGGGCCUGCUCUUGGUUCUAAGGGUGUCAACAUCAUGGCCUUCUGCAAGGAUUACAAUGCCAGGACUGCCGAUAAAGCUGGUUUUGUUAUCCCAGUUGAGAUAACCGUCUAUGAUGAUAAAAGCUUCACUUUCAUCUUGAAGACUCCUCCUGCUUCAGUUUUGCUAUUGAAGGCUGCUGGAGCGGAUAAAGGUUCCAAAGACCCAAAGCGAGAGAAAGUGGGGAAGGUUACUAUUGAUCAAUUGAGGAGCAUUGCUCAAGAGAAAUUGCCAGACCUGAAUUGUUCAACUAUUGAAUCAGCAAUGAGAAUUAUAGCAGGCACUGCUGCUAAUAUGGGAAUUGAUGUUGACCCUCCAGUUCUUGAGCCAAAAAAGAAAGAAUUAGUGUAGUGUUGGUUACUUGGUGCAUUUCCUUGUAGUUUCCUUUGUUUCAUAUUUGUGCCAGUUUUGGCCCUUGGACUCUGUAUUUGGAGUUACAGGAGAUGUUUAUUGGAUAGUUAUCAAGUAGACUGAAUGCUGGAAGAUGGAAAAAGCCUCCAAUUUGCAGUGCUGCAGCAAAGUUAUAGCCAUGCAGGACGACUGAAGCAUAUUUAGAUCCAUUUGAUCUUAUCAAGCACGAAACCUUUCCCAUCUCCCCUUCUUGGUAGGUGAUCUUGUACCACCACUUUCUGGUGCACCUGAACUUUUUGAGGAUGUUUUUGCAAGCGUUAGCUAAUUGUAGCAACUCUAUAUCUUGCAGCGUCUCAGAACUUAAGGACAUGUUAGAAGUGAGGGAAAAUCCUGAUUUCCUAUGAAAAUGUUCAUUUGAUUUGUUAAAUCUUUUAGACAAAUAGCAUCUGUACUCUUCUUUUGAAUGGCAAACAUUUAUGUGUGCAAUUUA